UAUCCCACCCCAUGUGGGUUAAGGCCCCCAACAGACCAUUGGGUUGAUAGGCCAGAAAUGGAAGCACAGUAAUGUGUUGUCGAGUUGACUGGUACUAAUAGGCCGAGGACUUGCCCACAA
rnacentral:rRNA from 1 species